rnacentral:rRNA from 1 species
GACGAACGCUGGCGGCGUGCUUAAUACAUGCAAGUCGAACGGAAAGGCCCUGCUUUUGUGGGGUGCUCGAGUGGCGAACGGGUGAGUAACACGUGAGUAACCUGCCCUUGACUUUGGGAUAACUUCAGGAAACUGGGGCUAAUACCGGAUAGGAGCUCCUGCUGCAUGGUGGGGGUUGGAAAGUUUCGGCGGUUGGGGAUGGACUCGCGGCUUAUCAGCUUGUUGGUGGGGUAGUGGCUUACCAAGGCUUUGACGGGUAGCCGGCCUGAGAGGGUGACCGGCCACAUUGGGACUGAGAUACGGCCCAGACUCCUACGGGAGGCAGCAGUGGGGAAUAUUGCACAAUGGGCGGAAGCCUGAUGCAGCAACGCCGCGUGUGGGAUGACGGCCUUCGGGUUGUAAACCGCUUUCGCCUGUGACGAAGCGUGAGUGACGGUAAUGGGUAAAGAAGCACCGGCGAACUACGU